CAAAGGUCGCGGGUUCGAUUCCCACCGUGGUCAGGCAAACUUUUCAGCUUGCCCGGUGUGGAUGCACACUCAGAGUAACAUCACAAACAUCUUCAGAACUGUUGAUGGACUUCUUUAUUUGCCACAAGAUGCAAGACUUCUGCAUAGAAUGAAAAUAAUUUACAGUGUUUCUCACAGCGAUAAGAUCUGCACGAUAAUACUAAGCGAAACCCACCUUGAUUCGGAACUGUGAAUG